rnacentral:misc_RNA from 1 species
GUACCCUCAAGCUCUGCUUGGUGUUGGGUGUUUGUCCUAUCCUCUGCGACUGGACUCGCCUUAAAGAUAUUGGCAGCCGGCAUUUUGGCCUUGGAGCGCAGCACAAUUUGCGAGUCCAAGCCGGAAUACUGGCGUCCAGAUAAGCUUUUUACCAC